UUAUCUAGUGUGCCUUUAAGUCUACCUACUUCAUUCUUAAGGAUCACAGAAGAAACACAACCGUUAGUAGAACUUUCAGGUUUGUCGGCACUUCUCUUUACAUAAAACUUGUUUUGUUCGUGUAGCUUCUCAUUUUCUAAAACCAGUUUUUCUAAUUCCUUUUCUUUUAAAGAAAUCUGUUUUUGAAAAUCCGUUUCUUUUAGAGAAGCGUUUUCUCUUAAGNNNN
rnacentral:lncRNA from 1 species